rnacentral:rRNA from 1 species
AACGCGAAGAACCUUACCCAGACUUGACAUGCAGUAGAAGGCGCCAGAGAUGGUGAGUCCCGCAAGGGCUGCUGCACAGGUGCUGCAUGGCUGUCGUCAGCUCGUGCCGUGAGGUGUUGGGUUAAGUCCCGCAACGAGCGCAACCCUUAUCGUUAGUUGCCAGCGCGUAAAGGCGGGGACUCUAGCGAGACUGCCUGGGUUAACCAGGAGGAAGGUGAGGAUGACGUCAAGUCAGCAUGGCCCUUAUGUUUGGGGCUACACACGUGCUACAAUGGCCAGCACAGAAGGCAGCGAAACCGCGAGGUGGAGCAAAUCCCCAAAGCUGGUCUCAGUUCAGAUUGUAGUCUGCAACUCGACUACAUGAAGUUGGAAUUGCUAGUAAUGGCGUGUCAGCAACAACGCCGUGAAUACGUUCCCGGGCCUUGUACACACCGAUAGC